UACGUAGGGGGCAAGCGUUGUCCGGAAUCAUUGGGCGUAAAGAGCGUGUAGGCGGCCCGGUAAGUCCGCUGUGAAAGUCCAGGGCUCAACCCUGGGAUGCCGGUGGAUACUGUCGGGCUCGAGUCCCGGAGAGGAGAGUGGAAUUCCUGGUGUAGCGGUGAAAUGCGUAGAUAUCAGGAGGAACACCGGUGGCGAAGGCGGCUCUCUGGACGGUGACUGACGCUGAGACGCGAAAGCGUGGGGAGCAAACAGG
rnacentral:rRNA from 1 species